rnacentral:lncRNA from 12 species
GCCAACAGGGAGAAGUCCCCCAGAGAGGCACCAGCUCCAGCAUGAGUGAAGCUGGCCAGGUCUUUGUCCACAGGGUCACAGCCACUCCAUCCAUCACCCCCUGGGUCUCGUCCUGCCCGCAGGGUGAACAGGCUUCAGGAAUGAACCUCAUGAGCACCUUGGUGGCACUCGGCCCCCACCCUCUGAGUGGUCUGCUCAACACUAACCAAGAGCCAGAAGGUGUAAGUAAUGUCCGGAGAUGGAAAAGAACUGUGGGAGCAGCAAGGAGGCAAGUGGGCACUGAGAGCACCAAAGAAAGGCUUCGGAAGGCAAAAGCCUGCUUCUGGCUUCUGCCUCACACCAUCUACCUUAAAAUAUUGUGCAGAUGAAAAAAAAUAUAUUGUGCAGAUGUAUCCAGAGUGGAGAAGCACGGACAUAAGGACUGGUGCUGAGUGGUAAAUCCUCCCCUGUGGAGCUGAGAAUAAAAG